GUCAGGGUAUAGCGUGAGGUGGCCUGAGGCUACUGGGGCUUCUACUGUUACUCCGGGCAGUUUUGUAGUAUGCAUCAAGAGCAGAGGUGUUGCAGUUAGGGCAGCCAUGUUUGGGUUGAAAUCAUAGAUCUCUAAUGUAAAGCAUCAGUGGGUGUUGUUACUCCCAGCGUUACUGCAGAACCCCUCAAUGUCUCCCCAGGGCUUAUAUUUAUUUAGGGGGUAUCGUGUGGUGUAGUACAGUACGUAUGUCUUGCCCUGGUCGGGGAUCCUCAGCACAGAGCAGGAAUAGGAGUAUAGCAUUCAAGCUGGAUUUGUCUUUCAGUCACAAGCCCCCUCUAGAGAACCACUGGGUAGGAGCUGAGAGUCCACCUUUGCCACCGUCCCUAUGAGCAGGUGUCCGUGUGGUAGUCCAGCCUAUGGCUGUCUCGUGGCUGCCAUACCAUAUGGGAUCCGUGGGUGCAGUGCCCCUUCGGUCUACCUCCCAGGGCUUCUGUGUGUCUAUUCUGGUCUGGUUAGGAGUGGGAGCAGUCGUCUGCCGUGAAGGAAAUUGUUAUGUGACGGUGGUGUGUCAAUGAUCAGGUGGGAAGGG